rnacentral:lncRNA from 1 species
AUGGCCCCUCCCCGGCCGGCCGCGCUCUGCUGGGACCCCCGCCCCCUGCUCGGUGCUGGCCCCGGGCCCCUAGUCCCGCACUCGCCCGGGCGCACCGCAGGGCUUGGAAAGCAGCCCCGGCGAGCGAGGAGGCGAGUGAGGAGGCGGGCGCGGGUGGGAGGAGCAGCCAGCAAACCUACGAGUCCAGAGAGUGAGCGCCGGGGAGGCAGCAAGAAGGCGGGCGGGCGGGCGAGCGCUCCUUCUUCCCGCUCCUCUCGUGCUACCGCCCUCGGGCGGCGGCGACCCACCCUCUUCCAAUCUCUGGCUCGGAGAACAGGGUCUCCAGGACACUCUCCCAAGCCCUGGGCGCCCUGGAUCGCACUAGAGGCCGCCUCAGGAGCCCCAGAGUGGUGCGCGCUGGGGCCUGGGCAGAGGAGGAGGAGGAGGAGGAGGAGGAGGAGGAGGAGGAGGAGGAGGAGGAGGAGGAUGGACUUCCAGGGGCCCCUCCCGCGCCGGCGGCCUCCCACCUGCCCUCGGCCCCGCCCUCCCCACAGCUGUGCCCAAUGGAUUCAUUCAUUCCCUCUAGAGCGCUUGACAAAUGUUUACCGACUGCCCACGGGGUGCCCAGAGCCUGGCGGGACUUCGCUGGGUUGCGGCGGGAGGAAUCCCAGCCGGCCCUGCCCUCUUGGCACUCGCGGUCCGCACCAGGAAGGCAGCCAGAGCGGGACGGGGGGCUGCCGACCGCGAUGGGAAAAGUUAGGGGAGCCCGGAGGUGGCGCAGAAAUAGAAGGCUUCCUGGAAGCGGUGACCCUUGAGCCGGUCUUGCCCCUCUGUCCCGGUCUCCUUUUAAGCCGGGCACGCUGGCCCCUCCGCGCCUUCCUGAGCCAGUUGUCAGCUAGUCUCUGCGCUCGCCAGUCCUUGGGCCUGGACCUCUCCCCGAUUACCACCCCCCGCCCCGCAGCGGGCGCCGCUUUCUCCUCCCAGAAACCUCCAAGACCUGCCAAGCUCAGGUCGCUUCCUCGCCUCACCCCACGCACAUCUGAGUUAUUUCCUGUCCUUUCUCUUGCUGUCUGGAAUUACUGUUUGAGUUACCCGGUGCCUUCUUUAUUGCCUUCUCACGCCCGCUAG